rfam:Aedes aegypti strain Liverpool supercont1.645 genomic scaffold, whole genome shotgun sequence.
UGCCCAGCAACUCCUAUCCCUGCGUCUACGUGAUACUGGCCGGGGUACGAGUAACCUCAGGGAAGAUCGCGUAACCAGCCCCGGUGGUAACUUUGGUCGUAUGCUGUCAGGGAAGG